GCGGCGUGCUUAACACAUGCAAGUCGAACGCGAAAGUCUUCUCUCGAGAAGAUGAGUAGAGUGGCGCACGGGUGAGUAACGCGUAAAUAAUCUACCCUUGCAUCUGGGAUAACCCACCGAAAGGUGUGCUAAUACCGGAUACGUUCUUUUUAUUGCGAGAUAGAAAGAAGAAAGGUGGCCUCUGAUAUAAGCUACUGUGCAGGGAGGAGUUUGCGUACCAUUAGCUAGUUGGUAGGGUAAUGGCCUACCAAGGCGACGAUGGUUAGCGGGUCUGAGAGGAUGAUCCGCCACACUGGAACUGGAACACGGACCAGACUCCUACGGGAGGCAGCAGUGAGGAAUAUUGCGCAAUGGGGGCAACCCUGACGCAGCGACGCCGCGUGGAUGAUGAAGGCCUUCGGGUCGUAAAAUCCUGUCAGAUGGAAAGAAGUGUUAUAUGGUUAAUAGCUGUAUAGCUUGACGGUACCAUCAAAGGAAGCACCGGCUAACUCCGUGCCAGCAGCCGCGGUAAUACGGAGGGUGCAAGCGUUGUUCGGAAUUACUGGGCGUAAAGCGCGCGUAGGUGGUCUGUUAUGUCAGAUGUGAAAGUCCACGGCUCAACCGUGGAAGUGCAUUUGAAACUGGCAGACUUGAGUACUGGAGGGGGUAGUGGAAUUCCCGGUGUAGAGGUGAAAUUCGUAGAUAUCGGGAGGAAUACCGGUGGCGAAGGCGACUACCUGGCCAGAUACUGACACUGAGGUGCGAAAGCGUGGGGAGCAAACAGGAUUAGA
rnacentral:rRNA from 1 species